rnacentral:misc_RNA from 1 species
GCGGCGAGCGAAGCGGGAAGAGCUCAAAUUUAUAAUCUGGCACCUUCGGUGUCCGAGUUGUAAUCUCUAGAAAUGUUUUCCGCGUUGGACCGCACACAAGUCUGUUGGAAUACAGCGGCAUAGUGGUGAGACCCCCGUAUAUGGUGCGGACGCCCAGCGCUUUGUGAUACAUUUUCGAAGAGUCGAGUUGUUUGGGAAUGCAGCUCAAAUUGGGUGGUAAAUUCCAUCUAAAGCUAAAUAUUGGCGAGAGACCGAUAGCGAACAAGUACCGUGAGGGAAAGAUGAAAAGCACUUUGGAAAGAGAGUUAACAGUACGUGAAAUUGUUGGAAGGGAAACGCUUGAAGUCAGACUUGCUUGCCGAGCAAUCGGUUUGCAGGCCAGCAUCAGUUUUCCGGGAUGGAUAAUGGUAGAGAGAAGGUAGCAGUUUCGGCUGUGUUAUAGCUCUCUGCUGGAUACAUCUUGGGGGACUGAGGAACGCAGUGUGCCUUUGGCGGGGGUUUCGACCUCUUCACACUUAGGAUGCUGGUGGAAUGGCUUUAAACGACCCGUCUUGAAACACGG